UACGAAGGGGGCUAGCGUUGCUCGGAAUCACUGGGCGUAAAGGGUGCGUAGGCGGGUCUUUAAGUCAGGGGUGAAAUCCUGGAGCUCAACUCCAGAACUGCCUUUGAUACUGGCGACCUUGAGUUCGGGAGAGGUGAGUGGAACUGCGAGUGUAGAGGUGAAAUUCGUAGAUAUUCGCAAGAACACCAGUGGCGAAGGCGGCUCACUGGCCCGAUACUGACGCUGAGGUGCGAAAGCGUGGGGAGCAAACAGGG
rnacentral:rRNA from 1 species